UCAAAGUAGUGGUUGAAGGCUAUCAAGUGACUUAUAAUCGUGUAGAAGGUGCACACCCUUCAAGAGUAACAAAGCAAAACAAAGUCACUUGGUUGAACUCCUCAAAAGACCUUCAAUCAAAGCUUUCUUCAAGAACAUGUACCCGUAGCAGAUGAUACGGGGUGGAACCCAUAAAUGUUGAUCUUUCACAAAUUGGAGGGGAAAACCUCGAAGAACAUGAAGAACACGGAGAAGAACGGGGACAAAUUAUAAGAGGAAACAGUCAAGAACAAGUCCAAUCACACAUUCACUAGACUCACACCACACAAGAUCCACAAGGGUACAUGAACAACAAAGAGAAAGUAAGAUACAUGGUAAUAUUUAUCCCAAAUUCCAUAGGGAGAUGAGGUCUUGAAUCCAAUAGGAAUCUUCCCUGAGAAGGGGCCUUGGCAACCACUAGGGUUCAUCUCCCAUGGAAGUCAUCUCCAUGGGGAAGGAGGUAGUGGA
rnacentral:lncRNA from 1 species